AGUUAGGUUCAACCUAUCAAUCAAGGUCACAGUUAAAAGCAUUUAUUAGACACAUAACUCUUGCCAGGUACUGUGCUGGGAACAGAAGAUAUAGAAGCAACAAUGAGUCAGUCUUUCAGUCUUUGCCCUUAAGAUAUUAAUAUUCCACCAGAAGGACAAAUGUUCACAGGUACACAUUAGGGAGAAGAGAGUAAAGGGCUGUAAGAAACAAGUCCAGCUGGGAGAACUUAAAAAUGUGGACAGAUACACUUCAAGAAACAGAAGAUGGGAACAACCCUUGGAUAGGUCACUUCUAUAAUAUGCACCCAGAC
rnacentral:lncRNA from 1 species